GACGAACGCUGGCGGCGCGCCUAACACAUGCAAGUCGAACGGGGUCCUUUUAGGAAGCUUGCUUCUUGGCUGGACCUAGUGGCGGACGGGUGAGUAACACGUGAGCAACCUGCCCUGAAGUGGGGGAUAACACUCGGAAACGGGUGCUAAUACCGCAUAACAUCCUCGGAUGGCAUCAUCUGGGGAUCAAAGGAGCAAUCCGCUUUGGGAUGGGCUCGCGCCCGAUUAGAUAGUUGGUGGGGUAAUGGCCUACCAAGUCUGCGAUCGGUAGCCGGACUGAGAGGUUGAUCGGCCACAUUGGGACUGAGACACGGCCCAGACUCCUACGGGAGGCAGCAGUGGGGGAUAUUGCACAAUGGGGGAAACCCUGAUGCAGCAACGCCGCGUGAAGGAAGAAGGUUCUCGGAUCGUAAACUUCUAUCAACGGGGAAGAAAAGAAUGACGGUACCCGAGUAAGAAGCCCCGGCUAACUACGUGCCAGCCGCCGCUGUAACAC
rnacentral:rRNA from 1 species